rnacentral:rRNA from 1 species
UACGUAGGGUGCGAGCGUUAAUCGGAAUUACUGGGCGUAAAGCGCGCGCAGGCGGUCCUUUAAGUCAGGGGUGAAAGCCCAGAGCUCAACUCUGGAACUGCCUUUGAAACUAGAGGACUUGGGUACGGGAGAGGUGAGUGGAAUUCCGAGUGUAGAGGUGAAAUUCGUAGAUAUUCGGAAGAACACCAGUGGCGAAGGCGGCUCACUGGCCCGUUACCGACGCUCAGGCGCGACAGCGUGGGGAGCGAACAGG